AGUCUUGAACCGGACUCAAGUGAUCUUCUUGCCUUAGCCUCCCAAAGCGUGGGGAUUCUAGGCAUGAGCCACCUCGUCUGGUCAAGGAGAAGGCCCAAUUUUGAAGGGCAGGUCCCAGGGUCAGCCAGGAAAGGGCAGAGCCUCUGAUUGCUGCUUCUCUGCUUGCAGGCCCCGAGGCGGCUGCUGGGGUGCACUGGGGGUCUUCCUGCUGCAGGGCAGGCCAGGCCAGAUGGGGCUCAGGCUGUCAGGGUGCUCACACCUGGCGCUUUGGCUGUCGUAGGUGUGGCUGACCGCACAGACGUCACUGGGGCCUUUUUCUGACUUCUACACACUCCCUGUGGCGAUUCGCACUGUGGCUAUCACCGAGAGCCAGUUCCUCAUCAAUGGGAAACCUUGCUAUUUCCACAGUGUCAGCAAGCAUGAGGAUGCAGAUGUCCACUGGGGCUCCUGGGUCCUCGUGGGGGCUGCCUCUGGUCACCUUCCACUUUCGCCUUCCCUGUGUCCUGCAGUUCAGGGCAAUGAGGCAAAUGAGCUUCCCUGUGGCAGCUAAGGGUAAUGAGGCAAAUGGCUCCAAACCACCCUGCUGUGGAGCUGGUGGUUGGGCUGGAGAGGGGGCUCAUCGGGUGGCUUUCCAGGGUCCUGGCUCUUGGAGGGGUCCUGGCUCUUGGAGGAAGUGCAGCUUUGACAGGGAUGGGUCACUUGACUCUGCUGUCCCCUAAAUCUGAGAGAGGGACUUCGACUGUCUGCUGCUGGUGAAGGACUUCAACCUGCUUCACUGGCUUGGUGCCAACGCCUUCCGCACCAGCCACUAUCCCUGCACAGAGGAGAUGCUGCAGAUGUGUGACCGUUAUGGGAUUGUGGUCAUUGAUGAGUGUCCCACUGUGGGCCUGGUGCUGCUAUGAGUCCCCACCACACAGCUGCUCUGCCUGGCCAGCCUGCGGGCCACACUGUGACCCUCCGUCCCUUCCCUCCUGGCCCCCUGGCAGCUCUUCAGCAACGUGUCUAUGCAUCACUACAUGUGGGUGAUGGAAGAACUGGUGCACAGAGACAAGAAUCACCCUGCCGUGGUGAUGUGGUCUGGCCAGGAGCCUGCCUCCUACCUGGAAUCUGCCGGCUACUACAUCAAGAAUUUUACUGCCUUGAUUGAGACAGAUUAUCAGAGGUGGGCACCGUUAUCCUCUCUUUCAUGCAGGAUUUAUCACAUCAGGUUCCUGCUCCAGCACGGCUCCUGGACUGGCCCCAGGUGCUGGCCAGGGGGUUUCUAUCCAAGUAUAAUUCACUGAAGCAUGUGUUUGGCAACAAGACCCAGCUCACUGUUUUAGGUCAGCCCAAGGCCACCCCCUCGGUCACUCUGUUCCCGCCGUCCUCUGAAGAGCUCCAAGCCAACAAGGCCACGCUGGUGUGUCUCAUGAGUGACUUCUAUCCGGGAAUCUUGACGGUGACCUGGAAGGCAGAUGGUACCCUCAUCACCCAGGGCAUGGAGAUGACCACGCCCUCCAAACAGAGCAACAACAAGUACGCGGCCAGCAGCUACCUGAGCCUGACGCCCGAGCAGUGGAGGUCCCGCAGAAGCUACAGCUGCCAGAUCACGCAUGAAGGGAGCACCGUGGAGAAGACAGUGGCCCCUGCAGAAUGUUCGUAGGUUCCCAACCCUCACCCCACCCACAGGGGCCUGGAGCUGCAGGAUCCCAGGGGAGGGGUCUCUCUGCAUUCCAAGCCAUCCAGCCCUUCUCCCUGUACCCAGUAAACCCUCAAUAAAUAUCCUCUUUGUCAACCAGAAA